GGCUUAAUGGUCUAGGGGUAAGAUACUUGCUUUGGGUACAACCUGCAAGGGAUCCUGGGUUCAAAUCCCAGUUGGGCCC